CCUACGGGGGGCAGCAGUGGGGAAUAUUGCGCAAUGGGCGAAAGCCUGACGCAGCGACGCCGCGUGAGGGAUGAAGGUCUUCGGAUCGUAAACCUCUGUCAGCAGGGAAGAACGGUCACUGUGCUAAUCAGCAGUGAAUUGACGGUACCUGCAAAGGAAGCACCGGCUAACUCCGUGCCAGCAGCCGCGGUAAUACGGAGGGUGCGAGCGUUAAUCGGAAUUACUGGGCGUAAAGCGCUCGUAGGCGGUAUGUGAAGUCAAGGGUGAAAUCCCCGCGCUCAACGUGGGAACUGCCUUUGAAACUGGCAAACUGGAGUGUGUGAGAGGAUAGUGGAAUUCCAGGUGUAGGAGUGAAAUGCGUAGAUAUCUGGAGGAACAUCAGUGGCGAAGGCGACUAUCUGGCACAUAACUGACGCUGAGGAGCGAAAGCGUGGGUAGCAAACAGGAUUAGAUACCCUGGUAGUC
rnacentral:rRNA from 1 species